rnacentral:rRNA from 1 species
AUUGAACGCUGGCGGCAGGCCUAACACAUGCAAGUCGGGCGGUAGCACAGGAGAGCUUGCUCUCUGGGUGACGAGCGGCGGACGGGUGAGUAAUGUCUGGGAAACUGCCUGAUGGAGGGGGAUAACUACUGGAAACGGUAGCUAAUACCGCAUAACGUCGCAAGACCAAAGAGGGGGACCUUCGGGCCUCUUGCCAUCGGAUGUGCCCAGAUGGGAUUAGCUAGUAGGUGAGAUAAAGGCUCACCUAGGCGACGAUCCCUAGCUGGUCUGAGAGGAUGCACAGCCACACUGGUACUGAGACACGGUCCAGACUCCUACGGGGGGCAGCAGUGGGGAAUAUUGCACAGUGGGCGCAAGCCUGAUGCAGCCAUGCCGCGUGUAUGAAGACGGCAUUCGGGUUGUAAAGUACUUUCAGCGGGGAGGAAGGUGUUGUGGUUAAUAACCGCAGCAAUUGACGUUGCCCGCAGAAGAAGCACCGGCUAACUCCGUGCCAGCAGCCGCCGUAA